GCCAGAGGGAGGAGCAAGGUUCUGAGGUGGGAGUGUGCCUGGGAUGAUGGGGAAAGCAGUCGGUGGACCAUCACAUCAGGACCAAGGGAGUGACGGAGGAGGAGGACAUGAUGAAGAGGGAAGAGGGGAAGGACAGACCCGUGUAGGACCCUGGAGGCCCUAGGAAGGAUGUGUUGAUCUGAUGAGCCUCUCGCUUUGGAAACUCGGGCUCAGCAUCUGCUCUGAAGAGACAAUCUGAGACAGCUGUUUCACAUUUCAGUCUCUAUGGGAUUACCGCCAAAUGACCAAUCUGACCAAUACAUCCAGUCUAAUGCAACCAUGGAGACUGUAUGAAGAUGUUGCUUCCCUACCUGCACCUCUGGCCCGAUUUACACAUAAGCACACUCACAAAGAUAUGUCUACAGGCUGCAUGGCUCUGUUAUUGACUACUGAAUGGUUUCCAGGCUGUCUUUGUCUCAAGGUCAAUCAGACUCAAGUUCCACUUUUUUUUUUCCUCUUGUAGGAAGAUUUCUUUAUUGGUAAGCUGAUUUAAAUUCCUUUGCAGAUAUUGAACCAAAUCUGCUCAGGCUGCAGCCUCCUGGGACCUUUCACUCUGGGCUAAAUAUAAAUAAAUACCCAUAUAGGACAGCUUUUGAUGAAACAUUAAAGAUCACUCUGGUUAUAUGGCUUCUAGAUUUUCUAUUUUCUGUAUGAAAAACCCAUGGCGGUAAAAAGAACCUUCGCCACGGAAAGGAAUAGAUUUGUAAAUUGCUGCCUAUGGACCUCCUGGGACUUAAUGGCACAGGGCAAAGAAGCAGCUGAGCUUGGCAAAGGAAGCAAGAUAAAUAAAAUUAGCCACCAAAUCAGCUCCUUUAAAAAUACCAGCUGUCAACUCCCUCCAGCGUUUAUGAAUUUGGGGGCAUGUUACUGUCACAUUGUGUCUCACCCAGGACCAAGCAGCAUUGCUCUUUUCAACUGGGAAAGGGUCCCUAACUCCCCUCACAGGGAAAGCUAAUGCAAAAAUUUGCCCUUUCUCUUUCACUCUGUCUCCCUUGUCAUGUGUGCAAGGAAGAAACCAAUCCAGGCCAACCAAGAGUUAUUGCUAUAAUGAUUAUACUUGUCAUUGUUUGUUCUUAAACUAUUCACCAAGUAAUCCCUUUAAAGGGUAGGGCUACUGGCU
rnacentral:lncRNA from 1 species